rnacentral:lncRNA from 1 species
AUGCAGCCCGACUUUGCUCCCUUCCCGCCCACCUCCGUCUGCCGAUAUUCAAUCAGAGAGUCCUUGAGCAAUUCACAUUUUGAGAUACAACUGUCACUGACCUCCAUCGCUGGAGAGGCAGGCUUUUCAGAAAGGGACAGAAGACGAGUAGGUCUUCAGAAGAGGAGGAGGAGCAGGACAGUGUUCAUGAAUCUGAGGGUGAGUUGGAAUCUGAGGAGGAGAUUUUACAAGUAUCCACAUUUCAGGAGAGGUGAAAGGAAACAAGAGCAGAGAUGUCAUUCAGCUAGAAUAGCUGCCAGAAAUGCAGCUGAGUAAUUGGGAACUGCCUUAGCAGCUGUGAGGGGACUCAGGGCUAUGAAGCAGAAGCAGGUGCAGCCCGCUCUUGCUGGUAACAAACUGACUCUUUGCUCCUCUUGUGCCUGCUUCAAGUCUGCAUCUGGGAAACUGCUCCUAAGGAUUUAUUGCUGUUUCUUUGUCUGAACUAAGACUGCUAUUUGAUUUGGGAAUUUAACAGAGACUAAGAACUGUGUUUGCCCUAAGACUUCCUUGCCUUCUUUUGCAUUAUUCCACUGAGUGUGCUGUACUUCAUGUUUUGCUGAAGUAAAGCAGUUUUCAUUUACUUACCACGAUGUUUUAAGGCUGUUCUUGAAAGACAAAACAGGACAGUAGGGCAUAAUUCCUAUGAAGUUUCAGAAUGUUUUGCUCAUCCACUGAUUUUUAGCAAAUUUUUAAAGUUUUUACAAAUAAAAUUUCUUUUAAAAAUGGAUACUCAACCUAUAUACGCUUACGCUGAAUUCUUGGUAUCUUCUGGGGUUUCAUUUAAACACACACACCAGGGAUACCACAAAUCUUUACUAUUAUAUGCAGUGGUGUAGUAUCCCUUUCAUACAAGGGUAAAAUCAGGAUUUAAUUUUUGGAAAUGGAGAGAGGGGAUGUUUUCAACCUGUGUUUGAUUGAAUCUAUGUACAGUAGAUUCUCACUUAUCCAACACUUGCUUAUCCAACAUUCUGGAUUAUCCAACACACUUUUGUAGUCAAUGUUUUCAAUAUAUCGUGAUAUUUUGGGGUGCUAAAUUCAUAAAUACAGUAAUUACUACAUAGCAUUACUGCGUAUUGAACUACUUUUUCUGCCAAAUUUGUUGUAUAACAUGUUUUGGUGCUUAAUUUGUAAAAUCAUAACCUAAUUUGAUGUUUAAUAGGCUUUUCCUUAAUGCCUCCUUAUUAUCCAACAUAUUCGCUUAUCCAACAUUCUGCCGGCCCGUUUAUGUUGGAUAAGUGAGACUCUACUGUAUAUGGAAUCCAUGGAUAUAUGUAUGUGGUUGGCCUUGGAUAAUUCACACCCUCUCAGCCUUAGAACAAGACAAAUACAAAAACCUUACCAAGAAAACUCCAUGAACAAUCGUAUUCUCAUUUAUAUAUAAGCUUGUUCCUUAGGACCUGUCACUUUAUAUCUGUAUUUGAUUUUAAUUAUUCCUUCCUGUGGUGAUCUUCUUAAAUUGCCAUUUUUUUACAAUCCACAAUAUGGAGAGAGACGCUUUCUUGAGUUGAGUUUCUAUGAGUUAAUUUAAAAUUCUACACUGAGGAAGGCAGUCUUUCAUAUCAAAUAGAACUAUGAUGAGGGAUAGAAUACAUUGCGGACAUUUGGGAGAAAAAUAAAAAGAGAAGAUAUUGGCAAAAGCUGCAUGUGUUUCUGGAAUGUUUAUUUUUGCUCUGGUCAAUAAGUCAUGUCAGUUCAAUCCUUCUGGUUGAUCAAAAAUUUAUGACAGCAAACUACAGGGGUCAUUGAAAUGUGUGUGGUGUGUGCAGUGUAUGCCUUUCAUUAUCUUUCAGUCUCAGCUGUGACAAUUCUGUGAAAUAUCCAUAUUUACCUUUCUUUCUUUCUUUCUUUCUUUCUUUCUUUCUUUCUUUCUUUCUUUCUUUCUUUCUUUCUUUCUAUAUGAUGUGGAACCUGAUUGCAAUAAACAUGAGUGCUUCUACUCCUGAUUUGUGGGUUUGGAGCUUCUGUUCAUGCUUAUGUAACUUGUUCAGAGUCGACCAUGUCUCUCGCCCAGUUUCUAUUCUGCACCCAAUUAAAAUCUGGAUUGUGUUUAAUUUGUACACAGGAGAAAAUGCAUCCUGUGUUUAUGCCUUGCUGCUGGAGUUCUCCAACCUAUCUUAAAUGCAAACUAUGUUGAGAAGAAAGCCCUUCUGGGCAAAGGAGUAUUACCCAGAUAGUAAACAUGCACAAAACUGGGCUAGAAAGGUGAUCUUGGGACCUUCCUUGUGCUCCACUAAAAUGUUGUCUCAGUAGAAAAGGAUGUGUUUUUGUUUUUGCUUUGGAUAAAACUCAGUGUUCUACUGAAAAGUGUUAAUUUUCAUAUGCUGAAAAAAAAGGCUCAAUAGCAGGCCAAACUAAGGUCUAUGGGCCGGAUGCGGCCCUCCAAGGUCAUUUACCUGGCCCUUGUCCUAAACUUUAGACUUAGGGUUGACCUAAGUCUACCUGGUCUUUGGAGGUCUCUUUGCUUAUCUAUGGUCUUGUGAGCUUGUCUAGCUGGUCUUUGAAGGUCUCUUUGCUUACUUAUGGCCUUAUGAGACGAUCUAGAUGGCUUUUGGAGGUCACUUUCCUUACCUAUGGUCCUAUGAGACCAUCUAGAUGGCCUUUGGGGGGCCUUUCCUUACCUAUGGUUUUAUGAGAUUGUCUAGAUGGCCUUUGGCGGCCCCUUUCCUUACCUAUGGUCUUAUGAAACCAUCUAGAAUGUCUUUGAGGGUGCCUUUCCUUAUCUAUGGUCUUCUGGUGGCCUGAUGAGAUCAUCUAGAUGGCCUUUGAGGGUCCCUUUCCUUCCCUAUGGUCUUAUGAGAUUGUCUUGAUAGCCAUUGGAGGCCCCUUUCCUUACCUAUGGACUUAUGAAACCAUAUAGAUGGUCUUUGAGGGUGCCUUUCCUUAUCUAUGGUCUUCUGGUGGACUAAUGAGAUCAUUUAGAUGGCCUUUGAGGGUCCUUUUCCUUAACUAUGAUCUUCUGAUGGCCUGAUGAGAUCAUCUAGAUGGCCUUUGGGGGGCCCUUUCCUUACCUAUGGUCUUAUGAGAUUGUCUAUAUCAGAGGUCCCCAAACUAAGGCCCUCCAAGGUCAUCGACCUGGCCUUUGUCCUAAACUUUAGAACUAGGGGUUGACCUAAGUCUGAAACGACUUGAAGGCACACAACAACAACAAUCCUAAUUUUGGACUAUUUCAUCAUAGUCUGGCCCCCCAGCAGUCUGAGGGACUGUGAAUCGACCCUCCACUUAUGGGUGGCUUCCAUGGGUACAUCUUGGGUAUCAUAUAAUGAGGCUAGGAAAAAAACUUUUACUUAAGAAAUAUAAGGAAGGUCAGAAAAACAGCAACACGCUUUUGCACAGGAAGUUAAAGCUCAAACAACAGAGAGAAAAGAGAAAAAUCCCUCCCUUUGAAGACCAAAGCAAAUGCAGAAGCAUCUGUACACUUAACAGGGCACACCUUGUCAUAUUAAAAGACUCUCUUUCCAAAUGGUUUAUUGUUAUCUAUUGAUUGAGACAAAUGGAGUCCGAAAUGGGCUGAAGUGCAUCACUUGCCAUUAUAUACAAAGCCGCUUUGAACUAACGCAAUGUUUUUAGGAUUUUGUUUGUUAAUAUUCUAGAUGGAAACAUACACAUCUUUAUCUGCUAUAAUUAACGAUCAUUCAGUUGGGAUUAAAUGUAUGUACAGUUUUUAUUGAUGAGCAAAUAUUUUACUCU